rnacentral:rRNA from 1 species
UUUACUGAGAGUUUGAUCCUGGCUCAGGAUGAACGCUGGCGGCGUGCCUUAGGCAUGCAAGUCGAACGGUAAUCCCACCAUAUGCUUGCAUGUGGUGGGAACGAGUGGCAGACGGGUGAGUAACGCGUAGGAAUCUACCCUCUAGUGGGGAAUAGCCUUCCGAAAGGAGGGGUAAUACCGCAUGUGAUCUCCGGAUCAAAGACCGUAACUGGUCGCUAGAGGAGGAGCCUGCGUCCCAUCAGCUAGUUGGUAGGGUAAUGGCCUACCAAGGCGACGACGGGUAGGGGGUGUGAGAGCACGGCCCCCCACAAGGACACUGAGACACGGGUCCUACACCUACGGGUGGCAGCAACCGGGAAUAUUGCGCAAUGGGCGAAAGCCUGACGCAGCGACGCCGCGUGUGGGAAGAAGGCCUUCGGGUUGUAAACCACUGUGGUAGGGGAACAAGCUCUGAGGGUACCCUACUAGAAAGCACCUGCUAACUACGUGCCAGAAGCCUCGGUAAUACGUAGGGUGCAAGCGUUAUCCGGAUUUACUGGGCGUAAAGCGUCCGUAGGCGGUUUGGUAAGUAUAUGGUCAAAGCCCUCGGCUCAACCGAGGAAAGGCUGUAUAAACUGCCAGACUAGAGGGUUGCAGAGGUUGUCGGAAUUCUCGGUGGAGGGGUGAAAUCCGUUGAUAUCGAGAGGAACACCAAUGGCGAAGGCAGACAACUGGGCAACUCCUGACGCUCAGGGACGAAAGCUAGGGUAGCAAACCGGAUUAGAGACCCGGGUAGUCCUAGCCGUAAACGAUGGAUACUUGCCGGUUGUCCCGAUUUAUCGGGGUGGCUGGCUGAAGCUAACGCGAUAAGUAUCCCGCCUGGGAAGUACGGCCGCAAGGCUAAAACUCAAAGGAAUUGACGGGGGAGCGCACAACCGGUGGAGCAUGUGGUUUAAUUCGAUACGAAGCGAAGAACCUUACCUGGGCUUGACAUCCUGCCGUAUGUUUUUCUCGAAAGAGAAAAACCUUCAGGCAGGACAGGUGCUGCAUGGCUG